GACAGAGGAGGCAAGCGUUGUUCGGAAUCAUCGGGCUUAAAGCGCGCUUAGGCGGCCGUGUAAGUGUCUUGUGAAAUCCCACGGCUCACCCGUGGAACUGCAGGGCAAACUGCAAGACUUGAGGUCGGUAGAGGCGCCUGGAACUCUAGGUGGAGCGGUGAAAUGCGUAGAUAUCUUGGGGAACGCCGGAGGCGAAAGCGGGGCGCUCGGCCGAUUCAGACGCUGAUGCGCGAAAGCGUGGCGAGCAAACAGG
rnacentral:rRNA from 1 species